rnacentral:RNase_P_RNA from 1 species
GCAGGCCAUCGGGCAAUCGCUGUUCGUUUGUAAAAACGAAGAGAGGAAAGUCCGAACACUCGGCGGUCAGCGAUGAUCGUCUGCAAAGAAAAGUCGCUAACGGCGACCGAGUAUAAUGAAAAUGGAUGACCUUGAGAGAUCUCUGUUAUUCAGGUUCAAAAGCUUAGGGAAAGUGCAACAGAAAAUAUAACGCUCGAGCCCGUAAGGGCGAGGUUCACGCAAGUGACCGAGUAAGUUUGAAAUCGUGAGGUAAGAGCUCACGCGGGCCAGCUCCGAGAGGAGCGCUGUGGAAAACCCUUUUCAGUGCAAGAGCAAAUUUGGUAGCUCGCUAAGUCCACCGAAGCCUCGGCGAAGGUGGACACGAGCCGGCUAGCAAUAGCCGGCCUAGAGAAAUGAUUGCCUCCUCGGCCGCAAGGUCGGGCAGACAGAAUUCGGCUUACAGAUGGUGCUGCGCAA